ACCAUGGUCCCCACCAGUUGGAGUCCUGCUGGCCUGUCUCUGCUCCCAACCCAACUGCUAUCGAGCUUUAGUUUCAGGUCAGCAAGCUCUAUUUGCUUUCCAAAAAUAAGCCUCUGCCACCAUGCUGAAGGGAGAAAAACAAGAAGGGCGGUAUUUUUAGGGCCAUUAAUUCUGACCACGUGCCCAGGAGGUGAACCGGAUGGCCACGGCACAAAGACUUCUCAUCACUAUGUCCUGCGACGCCAGCGCUCACCGGACGUUGCCUGCCUUCCUUCUCCUGGGUUUGCUAGCCCGGAUUGCUGCCACACACCCAGUUGUAAGCAGAACUAAUGGCACAUUGCUGGAGAGAGGAUGGCAAUCUCUGCUGUCCAGGUCCAUGGCUGGGAUGUCAGGGGAGAAGGCAGAUGUGAACUGGGAGAGUGACUAUUUGCUAGGAAUCAAGAGGCAGCGGAGGCUUUACUGCAACGUGGGCAUCGGGUUUCACCUUCAAAUCCUCCCAGACGGAAGGAUAAGCGGAGUUCACAAUGAAAACCAAUACAGUCUCUUUGAAAUAUCCACUGUAGAAAGAGGAGUUGUAAGUCUGCUUGGUGUGAAAAGUGCUCUCUUCAUUGCAAUGAACAGCAAGGGCAGGUUGUAUGGGACGGCUGUUUUCCAAGAUGAGUGCAAAUUCAAGGAGACCUUGCUGCCCAAUAACUACAACGCGUAUGAAUCCAACAUUCACCGCGGAGCUUACAUAGCCCUGAGCAAACACGGCAGGGUGAAGAGAGGGAACAAGGUUUCUCCUGCCAUGACAGUGACCCACUUCUUACCAAGAAUAUGAGCACCAGCAAAACAGAAGAUUAAAUCCCAGGACACACUGUUUUGUUUUGCACAUGGGGAAUAACCUCCCAGGGGCUGUCUAUUCGUGAUGAAUUUGAGCCUUCUGACAUGCAGGAGAGACACUGUCAGGGCCAGAUCCUCAGCUGGAGUAAAUCAGCCCAGGAAAACUACCAGUUUAUAGCUGCAGAAGAUUUGGCCCAAAGGACAUACCACAAGGAUGUACCCACCACGGCCAUUCCCGAGAAACUGUCAAGGCAAUUGUUUUCUGAACAAGAUACAGUUUUCCAGCAUCUCUAGUGUGACUGAUACUUGAAUUUAUCUGGUUCAAAUGUAAGUGAUGAUCACAGUGUAAAUUAAGAGAAAAAAAAAGAGUGGAAUGCUGCUCACAGUAUAGGAAUGGGAUGCUUUGGAAGGAAAGGAGUGAAAAUAACUGCUCUUAAUUUUCUGGUCUUGCAGUAUUUCAAAGGGAAGACAGAAUGACACACUUUGUUCACCCACUACAUGUGCAGCAGUUUGCUUUGAGAAAAUGUGCAUUUGAAGUGAAAAAUCAGGAUGUUUUGAGUGGGGAGAGAGUGGGUCAAAGAAAAGUUUGGAAAGUAUCAGGCAGUACAUUGACCUAGAGUCCCUAGAGGUACAGAGAGCUGUGCCGAAAUACAUUAGCUGGCAACCUGUAUCCUGGUGUUAUAUUCCUAAUUGUCUUUGAAAUGAAGUUUGAAGAAGUAUGGAAGAGUUCAGGGAUGUAGAAGGAAAGAGAGGCCAAAUACCAGCACACAAGUUUGUUUCUGAUCACAGCUUAAUCUAGCAUCCUUAUGACAGGAUGAAGUCUGUUCUCUCUUAAAGCAGGGCAGCCUAGAGAAAGUGAUUGUUGGCAGGACUGGUAAGUGUUGGGACAGCUGGCACAGGGUGGGAAUCAGACUCACUGACUCCAUUUUGCACACACUGGUCAAGAGAGGACAACCCGUAGACCAGGUCACAAGAAGUCAGGACAAGAGAAAAUGGCCUCAAGCUGUGCCAAGGGAGGUUCAGGUUGGACAUCAGGAAGAAUUUCUUCACUGAAGGGGUGGUCAGGCAUUGGAACAGGCUGCCCAGAGAGGUGGUGGAGUCACCAUCCCGGGAAGUGCUCAGGAAAUGACUGGAUGUAGUUCUGGUUGACAAGGUGAGGAUUUGUCAAAGGUUGGACUUGAUGAUCUUGGAGGUGUUUUCCAACCUCAUUCAUUCUGUGAUUCUAUAAGUCUGUUUAGUCACAGCCUGCUAGGCUGAGACUGUUCUUACAAACUGCAGACCCUUUUGGAUGCAGUUUUGGUGGGCAUGGAAAGCCCCAUCAGUCACUCUGCCGAGUUAUUCUUUAUAUCACUGCUUUUUUCCUCAUUACACCUCAAUGCCAGCCAGAUCAACAUGGAAAUCACAGCUGAAAUCAAAGAAGGGUAUGUGACUACAUAAAGAAAACUCAUGAAACUAAAGGGAGUUCCCAAAUCAGGGCAAAAUUAGGAACUUCAAAAUAUAUCUCAACUGUGCAUUAACAGGGGUCAUGCCAUGGGCUAUGAGCUUUGAAAGCAUAGCUGUGAAUGCUCCACAGCAGCCUGUCAUGCCCACAUUUUGCACAUGGGAUUCUCCUGUGGAAUUCAUGCCUAUUUUUACAGUUUUUCCUUCCUCAGGCAAACCCCAUAACAUUCUGUGAUUUAAUCCACCCCUCUUAGAAAGCAGAUUUGGCUGGAACUGAAUCAUGUUCUUAAAUAAAUGUAUUUUUUCCAGACACACAGAGACUCAGACACACACACAGUGGAAAAGCAGAGUAAUAUUUGUAUACCUCACUAAUUAUUUCAAUUCCAAGAUUUUAUUUUGCACAGUAAAAUGGUGCCAAAGUUCUCAGAUUACUUUUUUUUUUCACUAAAAUAUACCUCAUGUUCUGACUCAAUAUGGACUCACAAUUGAGACUGUAAAUUUGCAAGAAA